GAGUUUGAUCCUGGCUCAGAUUGAACGCUGGCGGCAUGCUUAAUACAUGCAAGUCGAACGGUAACAGGUUCUUCGGAAUGCUGACGAGUGGCAGACGGGUGAGUAAUGCAUAGGAAUCUGCCCAUGUAGUGGGGGAUAACUUGGGGAAACUCAAGCUAAUACCGCAUAAUUCCUACGGGGGAAAGAGGGGAUCUUUCGGGGCCUUGCGCAAUUGGAUGAGCCUACGUCGGAUUAGCUUGUUGGUGGGGUAAAGGCCUACCAAGGCGACGAUCCGUAGCUGGUCUGAGAGGAUGAUCAGCCACACUGGGACUGAGACACGGCCCAGACUCCUACGGGAGGCAGCAGUGGGGAAUAUUGGACAAUGGGCGAAAGCCUGAUCCAGCGAUGCCGCGUGUGUGAAGAAGGCCUGCGGGUUGUAAAGCACUUUCAGUGGGGAGAAUGAAGCCAUCUCUAAUAUAGGUGGUGGAAGAUGUUACCCACAGAAGAAGCACCGGCUAACUCUGUGCCAGCAGCCGCGGUAAUACAGAGGGUGCGAGCGUUAAUCGGAAUUACUGGGCGUAAAGGGUGCGUAGGCGGUUAAAUAAGUUAGGUGUGAAAGGCCCGGGCUUAACCUGGGAACUGCGCCUAAUACUGUUUAGCUAGAGUAUUGUAGAGGAAAGUGGAAUUUCCGGUGUAGCGGUGAAAUGCGUAGAUAUCGGAAGGAACAUCAGUGGCGAAGGCGACUUUCUGGACAAAUACUGACACUGAGGCACGAAAGCAUGGGGAGCAAACAGGAUUAGAUACCCUGGUAGUCCACGCCGUAAACGAUGAGAACUAGCUGUCGGGCGCUUUGAGCGGUCGGUGUCGAAGCUAACGCGUUAAGUUCUCCGCCUGGGGAUUACGACCGCAAGGUUAAAACUCAAAGGAAUUGACGGGGGCCCGCACAAGCGGUGGAGCAUGUGGUUUAAUUCGACGCAACGCGAAGAACCUUACCUACCCUUGACAUCCUCGGAAUCCGCUAGAGAUAGUGGAGUGCCUUCGGGAACCGAGUGACAGGUGCUGCAUGGCUGUCGUCAGCUCGUGUCGUGAGAUGUUGGGUUAAGUCCCGUAACGAGCGCAACCCCUAUCCUUAGUUGCCAUCAGGUAAAGCUGGGAACUCUAAGGAGACUGCCGGUGAUAAGCCGGAGGAAGGUGGGGAUGACGUCAAGUCCUCAUGGCCCUUAUGGGUAGGGCUACACACGUGCUACAAUGGGCAGUACAAAGAGAAGCGAAGCUGUGAAGUGUAGCGAAUCUUAUCAAAGCUGCUCUUAGUCCGGAUUGGAGUCUGCAACUCGACUCCAUGAAGUUGGAAUCGCUAGUAAUCGUGGAUCAGAAUGCCACGGUGAAUACGUUCCCGGGCCUUGUACACAC
rnacentral:rRNA from 1 species